GGGCGUACUCCGGUUUGCUUGUUAUGCAGAAAAGCUGAAAAGUCUUGCGCAGCCCAACCAGGAGACGCCAAAUUGUCGUGGGAAUUAGACACUCGCAGACUCGUCCUCUGAAGAAAAAAAUGGUUUAUUACAGAAAGAUGUGUAAGAUGAAGUGUGUGUCUUUGCACCAUGACUUCAGUCCUGGUGACGUCGUGUUUGCCAAAAUGAAGGGUUAUCCUUUCUGGCCUGCCCGGAUUGCUGUUGGGAAGGCUCCGAGGAAUAAGAUCCCAAUCUUCUUUUAUGGAACACACCAGACAGCUACUCUGCUUCUUAAGGACAUUGUGCAUUACUGGCCCAACAAAGAGAAAUAUGGGAAACCCAUCAAACGAGGAGGUUUUGAACAGGCCUUGUGGGAGAUUGAAAAUGACCCAGGGGUCUUCCUCAAAGGUCAAAAGAAAGCCGAUACAGUGAGGAAGGCGCAGGAGAUGCGGAAGAAGGUGAGGAGUGAGGGAAAGAAGAACACUCAGAAGAAAAAUGAGGUUGACAUGCCCCCUAAUGCUGCGACUCCGAUAAAGAAUGAUAAAACACCUGUGAAAAUCAGCACCACUCCGAAUAAACCGUCCUCCUCAGAGUCGCCGACCAGGAGACUGACACCGGGCCGAGCUAAAGACGGCCAAAACAAGACUGUAACCCGUUCUGAAAAAGCGACUGCUGCCAGUCCGAUGUCUAAAAAAGCAACAACUUCUCCUGGCCGCACAACUCAAACUAAAAGACCGGCUCCCCCCAAAAAGGUUGUCCUGGCCAAAAAAGCCAUCGUUGCUAAGACGAUGAUUGCAGCGAAGAAGAAGGAUGCCGCCGCCAAGAAGAAGAUCCUUACAAAAGCCAAAAUGGUCAAAGCCAAAAAUACAACAAGUACUAAGCGGAAGAUAAAGCUGCCCAGCAAAGUGGAAAAGGACGAGCCAAACCCAGAGACUUGGCUCCAAACCCCAGAGACUCAGCCCCGGAAUUCCAAAGGUUGGGUAAAAGUCACAGAUCGACAGUUAAAGAACCCUGAGAGUCGGCCCCGGAACGCCAAGGGUUGGGUAAAAGUCCCAGAUCUACAGUUAAAGAACCCUGAGAGUCAGCCCCGGAAUGCCAAAGGUUGGGUAAAAGUCCCAAAUCUACAGUUAAAGAACCCUGAGAAUCAGCCCCGGAACACCAAAGGUUGGGUGAAAGUCACAAGUCCACAGUUAAAGAACUCUGAGACUCGGCCCCGGAUCUGCAAGGGUUGGGUGAAAGUCACAGAUCAACAGUUAAAGAACCCAGAGACUCUACCCCGGAGGGUCAUGGGUUGGGUGAAGGUCACAGAUUCACAGUUAAAGAACCCUAAGACUCAGCCCCAAACCCCAGAGACCAGGCCCCAGAAUUCCACGGGUUUGAUAAAGGUCACAGAUCCACAGCUACAGAAUGCUGAGAUUCAGCUCCAAGCUCCAGAGACUGGGUUCCAGACCCCAGAUACUCAGCUCCAAACUGCUGAGACUCGGCCACGUAGACCAGAGAGUCAGCUACGGAAUACCAAGGCUUUAGUGAAGGUCACAGAGCCACAGCUGCAGACCCGACUCAGCACCCCAGAAACUUGGCUCCAGAAUCCCAAGACUUGCUUGAAGGUCACAGAGUCAUGGCUAAGGGUCCAGGAGACCCAACUCCAAACCCCAUGGACCCAACUAAAAACCCAGGAUACUCAGCCUAGGGUCACAGAGACUCCACUUCAAACCCCCGAGCCACAGCUCAGAACUCCGGAGCCACAGCUCCGGAACCGAGACACUCAGCUCCUGAACCCCAAGACUUGGCUGAGGGUCACAGUGCCACGGCUCCGGAGCCCUGAGACUCUACUCCAGUGCUCUGAGACUCGCCUCCGCAACCCUGAGAUUCCGCUUCGAAACCUCAAUGUCUCAGCCUUAUGUAGCAAAUUCUCAGCUACCGAACCCCAAGAUGCAACUCCAGUGGAACCCCAAGAGCCUGUUCCAGGUGAUCCCAAAGUUGGUGCUUCGGUUGAACCUCAAGGCACUGCUGUAGCUGAAUCCCAAAAUUCUGCACCAGUUGAACCCCAAGGUGCUGCUCUGAUUGAGGUACCAAAGAGAAAACGGGAAGAAGAAGGUGAGGGAAAAGGGAGAGUACUGAGACGGAGGACAGAAGAGCAGAAGGAUAGAGGGGAAAAGGGACAGAAGGAAGAGACUGAAAGGAAACAGCCAGAGGAUGAAUGGAAGGAUAGAGCGGGCCGAAGGAAGAAGAAGGAGGAAAUUAUCCCAGCCAUCACUGACACUGUUUCCAGCCCUACAGCUUCGAGAAGGAAGCGACAGGAAGAGAAACUCCACCCCUCAGAGCCAGAAAACAGCGAGACGGGAAAGCGAAAAAGGCCAGAGGCGGACGAGGGAGGACAGAGGGUGCUGAGACGAAGAACCGAAAAGCAGAAGGGAAAGAUGGAUACAGAGGAAGAAACAGAGAAGAAGCAACCAGAGGUUGAGCAGAACAAUGGAGAGAAGGUGGAUGGAAAGGAGUACAAGAGAGAGAAGAGGAAGAGGGAGGAGGAGGGGAAGAAGAAGAAGAAGAAGAAGAAGAAGCAGCAGCAGCAGAGGAACGAAGAUGCAGCUGAGAUGGUGAUGGAGAAGAAGGCAGAGGAGGAGACUGAUAAGAAGAAGCGUGAGGAGGAGGCAAGGGAGAAGAAGGAAGGAGAGGAGGAGAAGAGGGAGAAGACGAAAGAGGAGGAAUUGAGGGAGAGUAAGAGGGAAGAGGAGGAGAUGGAGAAGAAAAAAGGGGAUGAGGCAAGGGAGAAGCAGAGAGAGGUGGAGGAGGCGAGGGAUAAGAAAAAGAGAGAGGAGGAGGAGGCGAGGGAUAAGAAAAAGAGAGAGGAGGAGGAGGUGAGGGAUAAGAAAAAGAGAGAGGAGGAGGAGGCGAGGGAAAAGAAAAAGAGAGAGGAGGAGGCGAGGGAAAAGAAAAAGAGAGAGGAGGAGGCGAGGGAAAAGAAAAAGAGAGAGGAGGAGGCGAGGGAAAAGAAAAAGAGAGAGGAGGAGGCGAGGGAAAAGAAAAAGAGAGAGGAGGAGGCGAGGGAAAAGAAAAAGAGAGAGGAGGAGGCGAGGGAAAAGAAAAAGAGAGAGGAGGAGGAGGCGGCGAGGGAAAAGAAAAAGAGAGAGGAGGAGGAGGCGAGGGAAAAGAAAAAGAGAGAGGAGGAGGAGGCGAGGGAAAAGAAAAAGAGAGAGGAGGAGGCGAGGGAAAAGAAAAAGAGAGAGGAGGAGGAGGCGAAGAAGGAGAGAGAGGAGGAGGAGGCGAAGAAGGAGAGAGAGGAGGAGGAGGCGAGGAAGGAGAGGGGGGAGGAGGAGGAGGCGGCGAGGAAGAAGAAGAGAGAGGAGGAGGAGGCGAGGGAGAAGAAGGAGAGAGAGGAGGAGGUGAGGAAGGAGAGAGAGGAGGAGGAGGCGAGGGAGAAGAAGGAGAGAGAGGAGGAGGCGAGGAAGGAGAGAGAGGAGGAGGCGAGGAAGAAGAAGGAGAGAAAGGAGGCGAGGAAGAAGGAGAGGGAGGAGGAGGCGAGGAAGAAGAAGAGAGAGGAGGAGGAGGCGAGGGAGAAGAAGGAGAGAGAGGAGGAGGAGGCGAGGAAGAAGAAGAGAGAAGAGACUGAGAAAAAGAAAGAGGAGGAGGCUAGGGAGAAGAAGAGAGAGGUGAAAGCGAGGGAGAAGAGGCAGCUGGACGACAAGCAGAGGAGCAAAGAUUCAGGAGAGGAGGAGAAAGAAGAGGAGAAGAAGGAAGAGGAGGUGGAGUCUGCAAAACAGAAAGACUUGGAGGAUGAAAAGAAGACUCAAAGGAGUAGAGUGUUGGCGGAGAGGAGGAUGAGUGUGUUGAAGUCUCUUCAGGGGUUGGUCACGUCCACCAGAAGCAGAACGCAGAGACAAGGCACAAACCGAGCGGAGAAGGACGACAAGCGCAACGGAGAGGACGGAAAGGAAGGGAUGGAGAGAGAGAGGAGAGGAAAGACUGAGCAGAUGGAGGAGCUGAGUAAACAUAAAGGAGAAGAGGACAGAGUGGACAAACGAAGAGCUCCUGCUCUAUCAGUCACAGACUCUCUGCUGUACAGACUGCAUGGUGAUAUCAGGAUCUCCAUGACCCUCGAAAAGCCUGAUGUGAAUAAGUGUUUGUCGGCGUUGGAUGAGUUGAGUUCGGUGUCUGUUUCCUCGCGGCACAUUCAGAACCACAGCGAGCUCAUUGACACACUCCGCAAGAUGCGGUGGUUCCGGGGCAGUGAGGCGAUCAUGUUUAAAGCGUCAAUGCUGUACUACCGCUUUAAGAACAUUUAUCUGAUCGGAGAACCUGAGGACACACUCAGUCCCGAGUACAUCCACUCUCUGCAGGAGGAAAGAGAGAGACAGGAGGAGCAACACACACCUGAGACUGCUGCAGUGGAGGAGAACCAUACACACCCCAGCAAUCUCAUCCAGCACAGCUAAAGCGUUCCAGAACCUGAUGAGAAAAAAAGAGUUCCCCUGCCCCCACCCAAACCCUUGCGCUACAGAACCCUAUGAGGAAUGUUCCGGAAACCCUGUGAAGUUCCCACUAAAAAACAGAAGGCUCUCGGUAUCCCACGAGGAAAGUAAUGAGUUCUGUAACUCUGUGUAGAACCAUAAGAGUACUCCAGUACCCUUCAGUUUUAGAAUGAAGUGUGAAGUGAACGAAUAGUUCCUGAACUCCUCUACAAUUCCGGAACCCUGUGAGAAAACGAGAGCUCCCAGAACCCACCUGAAGAACCAAAAGAGUUCUGGAACCCUGCCGAGGAAACAGGAGUCAUUUGUGAAAUGAUUCUGCAGCAGAGAUGAGCUGAAACACACACACUCACACACACACACACACACACACACACACACACACACACACACACACACACGUCUGGAGUUCUUUAUGAUGUCCAGAUGUUAAUUGGUGCUCCGUGAUGAUCAACGAUAAGCUUAGUAUCUCUCUCUCUCUCACUCACACUCACACACACACACACACACACACACACUUGUAUUACACACUUCUCCUACCUGUUCUGAGAAGAUGAAAGGAAUAGUUCAUGCAGAAUGCUAACCUGCUAACAGUGACCUGAUUAGCAUUAUGCACACCGAGACAUGCUAAUGAAUGACCAGCCUCCUUUCACUGUUAGCAGUGUUAGCAUGCUUGCUGGAGUUAUUCCUCUUUGAUUAUAAUAUAAUUAUAAUAAUCUGCAAUGCUGUUGUAUGUUCUGGUUUCUACAUGUCCACACGUCUGCAGGGACGCACUCGAAGCCGUGCUCCAGACAGCUGGACUGCGGCUGUCUCAUUUACAGCAUUAAGGGCACUUUCGUUAAGGGGAAGCCCGUGUUUUGUGUUUUAGACUAUCAUCGUGUACCUUGUUUUAAUCUUAAAUGUGCUUUAUAUUUAAUUCUGCUGCACUGUAAAGUCACCACUACUGAGUGGACACACACGCACACGUGCGCGCACUGUCUGGAUAUAUCCUGAGAUUACCACACUAACAUUUCAUCAGCAACAUUAACACAUUCUACUGAGCUAAAAUGAUAGAAACGUCCUGCUCUCACUUCUCUAUGUCACCAGAAACAUCAGAGGAUGGAUGGAGAGAGAGAUGGACAGACAGGGGGAGAGACAGACUGAUGGAGAGAGAGAGACGGGUGGAUAGAGGACUGGCAGACAACUAAGCAAAUAGAAUGACAAAAAGACAUACAGACAAAGAUCGAAAGAUAGACAGACAGUUAAUCAAAUACAUACAGUAGAUUGACUGAUGGACAGGUUGAUAGAUUAUUAGACAGACAGGUCUUCAGACAGACAGGUAGGUUGAUGGAUUGACAGACAGACAGGUAGCUCCUCCUGACUGAAACACACAGGACAUUCUCUCUGAAUUAUCUGAUGUAUUGCUUAACUGAUUAUCAGCACAGGCGGUUACCACGGAAACAGUACAGCUCAACUCACACUGCAGGUUCUUUCCUGUGAUCUCUCUCUCACACACACACAAAGCAUUUUCUGUGUAAAUGUAUGACUGUUACUGUUGAAGUUUUAGUCUCACUUUAUAGCAUAUAUUUUCAUCUUAUUCCUGGAGUUUUUAUUUAAUUUGAUGUAUUUUUUUAUAACACGUUGUGCAUUACAGAGAGACCGAUCUGAUCUCACACACUGCACCACUACAGUGACUGCUUUUCUUUUCUUUUCUUUUCUUUCUCAUGUUUACCCUGCAGUGUGUUAUUAAUUACAUGUGUAACGGAUGACGCGUCCCACCCCCAGCCUUGAUAAAGUGUAUAUUAAACAUGACUCAUAUUAAAGAUACACACCUUUAUAAGCAUGCUAUGUUCCAAUAAUGAUUAUGGAUAUGAAUAAUGAAAUGAACUUGUGUGUGUGUGUGUGUGUAUGUGAGAGAGAGAGAGAGACAGCGAACGAGUGGGAGUGUUCUAGAAAUGUAAAGGUGUAUUAUGUAAGAUUAAUGGUUAAGUGGGUUAUGCGUUUGUUUAUAUUCACAUUUAUUUACAUUUAUUCAUUUAGCAGAGACUUUUAUCCAAAGUGACUUACAAGUGAGGAAAUACAAGCAAAGUGAUAUAUCAAGCAGAGAACAAUACAAGCAGUGCUACUGUACAAGAUCCAUUAAUUGAGUUCUAGAGGAGCAAAGUGCACAGUGUAGAGGUGUGAGUGCCAGAAUAAUUUAUUAUUAUUAUUAUUAUUAUUAUUAAGAGGAUAAUGUGGGGUUGGUGUUUUAGGGGUUGGUUAGGUGUUCAGGGAAGAGGUGGGUCUUUAGCCAUUUUUUGAAAAUAAUGACCGAUUGUGCAGACCGGAUUGAGGUUGGAAGUUCAUUCCACCCCUUCGGGAUAGUUAGUGUGGAGGUUCUGGAAAGGGACGUUGAGCCACGCUGAGUAGGCGCUACUAAACGUCAGGUCAUUAAUCAAUCGCAGAUUGUGUGAGGGAACGUAAGCCUUCAGGAGAGGGUUGAGGUAGGGAGGUGCUGAUCCAGACAAGGUUUUGUACGUGAGCACACACACACACUUAUUUGUACAAGUAAGAAAUAAAAAAUAUAUAUAUUAUAAUAUAUAUAUAUAUAUUGUUGCACCUUUAAGACACGAAUGUCAGAAUGUGAGAUUUAUAAACUGCUCUAAAUACACCGAUUAAUCAACUCCCACGUGUGUUUAUUCUGAAUCAUCCAUACACACCUACACAUUGCUUUAUACUCUGGAAAGUGCGUUUUUACGGGAUUUUAAGAUUGUUGUGUAAAUAGUCGUGUGUGUGUGUCACAGUGUAAAUCCACAUUGUUUCUGCUCAUUGUGAAUAAAACUUUUUUCUUUACUGUCAA